rnacentral:rRNA from 1 species
AUUGAACGCUGGCGGCAUGCCUCACACAUGCAAGUCGAACGGCAGCACGGGGGCAACCCUGGUGGCGAGUGGCGAACGGGUGAGUAACACAUCGGAACGUGCCCAGUAGUGGGGGAUAACGAGUCGAACGAUUCGCUAAUACCGCAUACGACCUGAGGGCGAAAGCGGGGGAUCGCAAGACCUCGCGCUAUUGGAGCGGCCGAUAUCUGAUUAGCUAGUUGGUGGGGUAAAAGCCUACCAAGGCGACGAUCAGUAACUGGUCUGAGAGGACGAUCAGUCACACUGGAACUGAGACACGGUCCAGACUCCUACGGGAGGCAGCAGUGGAGAAUUUUGGACAAUGGGGGCAACCCUGAUCCAGCAAUGCCGCGUGAGUGAAGAAGGCCUUCGGGUUGUAAAGCUCUUUUGUCAGGGAAGAAAAGGCUCUUUCUCAUACCAUAUGCCGAUGACGGUACCUGAAGAAUAAGCACCGGCUAACUACGUGCCAGCCGCCGCAGUAA